rnacentral:rRNA from 1 species
AGCUCCAAUAGCGUAUAUUAAAGUUGCUGCAGUUAAAAAGCUCGUAGUUGCAUUUCCGAGGCAAGGGAUUAGUCCGACCUUUGGUGGGUAUUUAAUCCUCUUGCCUCGUCCUUGAGUGGUGCUUCUUGGUAUUAAGUUAUCGAGGAGAUAGCCGCUCAUCGUUUACUGUGAGAAAAUUAGAGUGUUCAAAGCAGGCUUAUGCCGUUGAAUAUAUUAGCAUGGAAUAAUAAGAUAGGACCUCGGUACUAUUGUGUUGGUUUGAGAACCAAGGUAAUGAUUAAUAGGGACAGUUGGGGGUAUUCGUAUUCAGUUGUCAGAGGUGAAAUUCUUAGAUUUACGGAAGACGAACUACUGCGAAAGCAUUUACCAAGGAUGUUUUCA